GAUGAACGCUGGCGGCGUGCCUAAUACAUGCAAGUCGAGCGAACAGACGAGGAGCUUGCUCCUCUGACGUUAGCGGCGGACGGGUGAGUAACACGUGGAUAACCUACCUAUAAGACUGGGAUAACUUCGGGAAACCGGAGCUAAUACCGGAUAAUAUUUUGAACCGCAUGGUUCAAUAGUGAAAGACGGUGUUGCUGUCACUUAUAGAUGGAUCCGCGCUGCAUUAGCUAGUUGGUAAGGUAACGGCUUACCAAGGCGACGAUGCGUAGCCGACCUGAGAGGGUGAUCGGCCACACUGGAACUGAGACACGGACCUGGCUCCUAAGGGAGGCAGCAGUAGGGAAUGUGCCGCAAUGGGCGAAAGCCUGACGGAGCAACGCCGCGUGAGUGAUGGAGGUCUUGGGAUCGUGAAACCGUGUUAUUAGGGGAAAACAAAUGUGGAAGGAACUGUGGACUGCGUGACGGUAACUAAUCAGAAAGCCACGGCUAACUACGUG
rnacentral:rRNA from 1 species